UUCUCUUGCAGUCUGAAACACUGAAUAAUAUGUUUCAAUUGAAAAAAAAGGCAUACUUUACAUAGUUUGGCUAUUGACAUUUUGAGGGCGACAGGCACAAAAUCACAGAAUCACACAAUAGUUGAAAGUGACAGACUUCUGGGUCUACCGCCACAAUAUAUCUGCUUGCCAGAUGCUGCAGUCAGAACAUAGCCCUGUGCCUGCUCAUGAAGUCUUAACAGCCAUUUCUGAGGAACGACACAACACAGAAUGCAUAAAACCCUGGAGGACUCCUUGGUCAAUUUGUCCCACAUCACAACAGGCCCCACACUGGGAGAUGACUUCAGAGGGCAGAUGGC